UUCUGCUAAGUACUUUGGAAGGGAAUGACGGAACGCUUGAGCACAAUAUUCAAGUACAGGCCUCACUGUACAAUAAAAUUUCAAAACAUCUUCAACCUCCACACUUGCUCGUUUCAACAAUACUAUAAAUUAUACAGGCGUUUAUUUGCCUUCUUUAUACUUUCUCUGAUGUUAUCACUCCAUUGAAGUGUGCUUGACAUAACGAGUCCCAGUAUCUUUGUCUUCUUAACUACGGGCGUCUUAACAAGUACAGGAUCAAAGGGUUGUUUAACAAGUUUAAAAUCAAUUCUUAGUUCUUUACAUUUCUCAGCGUUCAGAGUUAGUCUGUUAUAGGCGUCGACCAUUUUUCGACAUCGGUGACUG